ACGGUGAGUAACACGUAUCCAACCUGCCGUCUACUCUUGACAGCCUUCUGAAAGGAAGAUUAAUACAAGAUGGCAUCAUGAGUCCGCAUGUUCACAUGAUUAAAGGUAUUCCGGUAGACGAUGGGGAUGCGUUCCAUUAGAUAGUAGGCGGGGUAACGGCCCACCUAGUCUUCGAUGGAUAGGGGUUCUGAGAGGAAGGUCCCCCACAUUGGAACUGAGACACGGUCCAA
rnacentral:rRNA from 1 species